GUUGAAACACCAGUUCCCCUAUGAUUACCAAAGUUAAGCAACAUUGAGCCUGGUCAGUACUUAGGUGGAUGACUGCUUAGGAAUAGCAAAUGCUGUAAG